GAUGAACGCUGGCGGCGUGCCUAAUACAUGCAAGUCGAGCGAACAGACGAGGAGCUUGCUCCUCUGACGUUAGCGGCGGACGGGUGAGUAACACGUGGAUAACCUACCUAUAAGACUGGGAUAACUUCGGGAAACCGGAGCUAAUACCGGAUAAUAUAUUGAACCGCAUGGUUCAAUAGUGAAAGACGGUUUUGCUGUCACUUAUAGAUUGAUCCGCGCCGCAUUAGCUAGUUGGUAAGGUAACGGCUUACCAAGGCAACGAUGCGUAGCCGACCUGAGAGGGUGAUCGGCCACACUGGAACUGAGACACGGUCCAGACUCCUACGGGAGGCAGCAGUAGGGAAUCUUCCGCAAAGGGCGAAAGCCUGACGGAGCAACGCCGCGUGAGUGAUGAAGGUCUUCGGAUCGUAAAACUCUGUUAUUAGGGAAGAACAAAUGUGUAAGUAACUAUGCACGUCUUGACGGUACCUAAUCAGAAAGCCACGGCUAACUACGUG
rnacentral:rRNA from 1 species